AUGAAUUAAAUGGUGAGGUUGUCGCUGGUCCUAUAUGGGCAUGUGCACACCUUGUCAAUUCAUCCACCCACCUCUGUGCACUUUUCAUAGAUUGGCUCGCUGCCCAUGUGUGGUUUGAGCCUUUCUGUGUAUUUUAUAAUAAACAUAUCUCAGUCUUAGAAUGUAAAUUAUGCAAUUAAUGCAAUUAAAUA
rnacentral:misc_RNA from 1 species